CCUACGGGUGGCAGCAGUGAGGAAUAUUGGUCAAUGGACGAGAGUCUGAACCAGCCAAGUAGCGUGAAGGAUGACUGCCCUAUGGGUUGUAAACUUCUUUUAUAUGGGAAUAAAAUGUUCCACGUGUGGGAUUUUGUAUGUACCAUAUGAAUAAGGAUCGGCUAACUCCGUGCCAGCAGCCGCGGUAAUACGGAGGAUCCGAGCGUUAUCCGGAUUUAUUGGGUUUAAAGGGAGCGUAGGUGGAUUGUUAAGUCAGUUGUGAAAGUUUGCGGCUCAACCGUAAAAUUGCAGUUGAAACUGGCAGUCUUGAGUACAGUAGAGGUGGGCGGAAUUCGUGGUGGAGCGGUGAAAGGCUUAGAUAUCACGAAGAACUCCGAUUGCGAAGGCAGCUCACUGGACUGCAACUGACACUGAGGCUCGAAAGUGUGGGUAUCAAACAGGAUUAGAUACCCGAGUAGUC
rnacentral:rRNA from 1 species